AUCUUUUUUUUAUUAUUAUUAUAUAAAAAUUUUAUACAUUAAAGAGUGGGUUUUAAAUAUAAGUGAUCGCAAAACCUCGCUAACGCUCGGUUCGCUAAAUCGAUAAUGAUCCUUCCGCAGGUUCACCUACGGAAA
rnacentral:misc_RNA from 1 species